GGGGGGGGGGGGGUUUCGUGUGUCCCCCGUCCCCCCUGGGAUUUCCGCGCUAUGUGGGAAUAGGGAUUUAAAAAUAGUAGGAAGUUUUUCGGCAGUACACGGGAGGGUUUUAAUAGUGUUAGGAUUUAUGUUUAUGCACUAUAGCCUGUUAGCAUAUUGUUUGAAGAUGAAUAUUGUUUUGUUACACACACACAAACAAUACAGAUGGGUGUGUGUAAAGACUGACCACAGCUUUUAUGGCCUGUGUUGGUCAGUCUGGAGAGGGGAGGGGUGCAUGUCUCUAGGCCAACCAGGAGGUUAGAAUACUGGACAAUACCAUAUUAGGAACUGUUUCAGUGUAGAAUCUACAGACACAAGACGGAUCUAAUCUACCCAGCAACCAGAUGUGGACAAAGGGAAGCGCCAAGGGGCUUGGACAAAUCCGAGGGCCAGCAAGGGCGGAGCAAAGUCUAAACCGCGCCCAGCCUCUACUGUGAUAGGCCAACAGGCGCGUUGGAACUACGUCAUCAUGGUAUAAGAACAGCUGGUUACGUACUUCCUGCCAGUUCUCCGAUCUACCCUGCGUGGAGAUACUGUGAACUCGUAUAUACGAAAAUUGCAUUUGCUAUUCAUUGUUUGCGGUAAUUAAACAUAAUUAAAGAAAGUUAGCAGACCUUGCUUUUUAUUUAUCCUGACACCGGAUGUGUUACACGCAGCGUUCACAAUAGUAGAUAUCAAUUGGAGGGGGUUUCUCACACACCCAAAGACAGAUGGCUGGCACAGGAAAGGCCUUGAUCAAGAGUGCUUGGGUCUGCAUUUCACGAGAUAAGACACACACACACAUACCCAAGGACGGAGGGCUGACUACGCACACACAAAAUCUCCUGUUUAGCUGAACAUUUGGUAACAAAGAACUUUUGCUAUAAGACUCAGAAGGAUGACGCCCAGCUCAUCAGGACCAAUCUGAGAAGACAACAACCUGUCCAGAACCAACCAAAGGACCAGAACUUCCAGACUCAACCUACUUUCUGUGUUGUAUAAAAUGUCUAUGCAUUCUGUUAUCUGGGCUUUUUCUGGAGGUUCUCUAUGAGCCGAAGGAACGAGACCGUAUACGCUUGUACCAGAUAUCUUUACUCAUAAUUAAACUGUCGCUUGUCAUACAAUUUA